rnacentral:rRNA from 3 species
GGACUACAGGGGUAUCUAAUCCCGUUUGCUCCCCUGGCUUUCGCGCCUCAGCGUCAGUAGAGGGCCAGCGGACCGCUUUCGCCACCGGCGUUCCUUCCGAUAUCAACGCAUUUCACCGCUCCACCGGAAGUUCCGUCCGCCCCUACCUCCCUCGAGCUUGACAGUAUCAGAGGCCCUUUUCCGGUUGAGCCGAAAGAUUUCACCCCUGACUUUUCAAGCCGCCUACGCGCCCUUUAAGCCCAGUGAUUCCGAACAACGUUCGCACGGUUCGUCUUACCGCGGCGGCUGGCAC